CGAAUACCGGGUGGCGACCGGCGCACGGGUGAGUAACACGUAUCCAACCUGCCUUUACUCGGGGAUAGCCUUUCGAAAGAAAGAUUAAUACCCGAUAGCAUAAUGAUUCCGCAUGGUUUCAUUAUUAAAGGAUUCCGGUAAAGGAUGGGGAUGCGUUCCAUUAGGUUGUUGGUGAGGUAACGGCUCACCAAGCCUUCGAUGGAUAGGGGUUCUGAGAGGAAGGUCCCCCACAUUGGAACUGAGACACGGUCCAA
rnacentral:rRNA from 1 species